rnacentral:rRNA from 1 species
CCUACGGGUGGCAGCAGUGGGGGAUAUUGCACAAUGGGGGAAACCCUGAUGCAGCGACGCCGCGUGAGUGAAGAAGUAUUUCGGUAUGUAAAGCUCUAUCAGCAGGGAAGAAAAUGACAGUACCUGACCAAGAAGCCCCGGCUAACUACGUGACAGCAGCCGCGGUAAUACGUAGGGGGCAAGCGUUAUCCGGAUUUACUGGGUGUAAAGGGAGCGUAGACGGUUAUGUAAGUCUGGAGUGAAAGCCCGGGGGCCAAACCCGGGAGUGCUUUGGAAACUGUGUAACUGGAGUGCAGGAGGGGCAGGCGGAAUUCCUGGUGUAGCGGUGAAAUGCGUAGAUAUCAGGAAGAACACCGGCGGCGAAGGCGGCCUGCUGGACUGAAACUGACGUUGAGGCUCGAAAGCGUGGGGAGCAAACAGGAUUAGAUACCCGUGUAGUC